rnacentral:rRNA from 1 species
AGUGAACGCUGGCGGUAGGCCUAACACAUGCAAGUCGAACGGCAGCACAGUAAGAGCUUGCUCUUACGGGUGGCGAGUGGCGGACGGGUGAGGCAUACAUCGGAAUCUACUUUUUCGUGGGGGAUAACGUAGGGAAACUUACGCUAAUACCGCAUACGACCUACGGGUGAAAGCAGGGGAUCUUCGGACCUUGCGCGAUUGAAUGAGCCGAUGUCGGAUUAGCUAGCUGGCGGGGUAAAGGCCCACCAAGGCGACGAUCCGUAGCUGGUCUGAGAGGAUGAUCAGCCACACUGGAACUGAGACACGGUCCAGACUCCUACGGGAGGCAGCAGUGGGGAAUAUUGGACAAUGGGCGCAAGCCUGAUCCAGCCAUACCGCGUGGGUGAAGAAGGCCUUCGGGUUGUAAAGCCCUUUUGUUGGGAAAGAAAAGCAGCAGGUUAAUACCCCGCUGUUCUGACGGUACCCAAAGAAUAAGCACCGGCUAACUUCGUG